rnacentral:rRNA from 1 species
UACGUAGGGUGCAAGCGUUAAUCGGAAUUACUGGGCGUAAAGCGUGCGCAGGCGGUUUUUGUAAGUCCGUCGUGAAAUCCCCGGGCUCAACCUGGGAAUUGCGAUGGAGACUGCAAGGCUAGAAUCUGGCAGAGGGGGGGUAGAAUUCCACGUGUAGCAGUGAAAUGCGUAGAGAUCCGGAGGAACACCAGCGGCGAAGGCGGCAUCCUGGACUGGUCCUGACACUCAUGAGCGAAAGCGUGGGGAGCGAACAGG